rnacentral:lncRNA from 1 species
GAUAAUAUACAAUAGAAUAUAAUAUAAUAAGUUAUAAAAAUAAUAAGGCGAAAUGGCUGUGCUGAAACUAAAAAGCGACAAAAAAAAAAAAGAGAAAUGCAAGGAAACUGUAAUUAAUUAUAAAACAUGUAUUAAAAAAGCAAAAAUAAAAAACAGAACAAAUAAAAACGAAGAAAAUCAAAAUGAUUUCGACGUAUCGAUAUUUAUGAAAACUGAACACGUAUCGAAUAAGAUACGUCAUUUAAAUUAUGCAAAAUUAGUUAAGAAUAUAAAAAAUAAUAAAUAUUUACUUGGUAAUAAUUUAAAAAAAAUUAUUGAAAUUUAUGGAAUGGGUAUUAUAGAUGAAGAUAAACAUAUUCGUAAUUAUGCGUCAAAAAUAUUUUACCAACUAAUAAAUAGUAGUAUAAAUUCAAAUACAAUAUUUAAUAAAAUUAAAACUUGUUUGUUUCAUUCGUUAAAAGUAGAUAACGAAUCAUUUAAAGUGUUAAAUAUAGAGUUAUGUUAUAACUUUUAUUUUACAAAAAUAGAAUAUAGUUAUAAAUGUUUUUUUGAAUUUUUAAAAAAUAUAAUUGAUUGUUUUGUUUUACUAUCAAUUGAGCAACAGAUUAAAAAUGUAAAGUAUAUUUUUUUAUUUUUUAAAGUCAAAAAUAAGUACAAAAGGAGUUUACAGGAUGCUGUAGGUAAUGGUGAUAAUAUUAGUGGAAAUAGUAGUAAAAACAGUGAAAAUUUUGGCUACUCAUUUGGUAGUAGUAACCGAAGUAGUAAUAUGUAUACACUCGAGAGUGACGCACUCUGUAGUUCUAAAAAAGAAGGACGUAACUACGAUGGAAUCGAAAACACACUCAACAAUAAGAGAAGCAACACAGUGAACGAUUACAGUAAUACAAGGUAUGGCAUACCACAUGAUAAUAUAACGAAGAAACUCAUUAAAGAUAAAAAAUCAAAAAUAAUAACUACGAAUAUAGCAAAUAGUAACAUAAAUAUUGGUACUUCUAAAGUACCGAGCAAUGUAAAUGUUGUUACAUUCAAAGAAGCGUGUGAUAAUGAUGACGAUACA